CCGCGGGCAGGACCCGGUGCCGCUCCCCUCGGCCGCCCGGCGGGGCUGAGCUGAGGGCCGCGGGUGCCGCCGCCGCGCCGCGGGCCGGUACCUGCUGGCUGAGGGGGAUGAGCGCCGCCAUCUUCCUCCCGCUGGGUCGGGCCGCGGCCGGGGCGGGGCGAGGGGCGGGAGGCGGUGGCUCGGCCGGGCCGGGCCGGGCGGCCCCGGGGCGGCGGCGGCGGCUGAGGGGGAGCCGAGACCCGCUGCGGCUUCAGCGGGGUCCGUUAUCGCGGCCCGGCAGGCGCUUCCCGCCCGCGGGAUCGGUCGGGUUGGGAACGGCCGCUGAGGUCAUCGUAGGUCCGACCUGCGGGCGAUCGCCGCCUUGUCAGGGAGUGACGCUCCCUGGCACUCCUGUCACUGCGUGCCACGUCCGGGCGUUCCUUGGGCACCUCCAGGGAUGCUCUUGGACAAGCAGAAGCAGAAGAAUUUGACCUCAGUCACUGCACAGGCUACAAAGUGGCCCAGCUGGAGCUGGGGCUUCCAGGGAUCCUCCUACUCCCUCUCUCCUCACCACACAGAACUCCCUCAGCCAGUGUCUAGAGGUAAAUGCAGGGCCCUGGGCUCUCAAGUUUGCCUUCAGUUUUUGCUAAAUUUGCAGCAUUAGUUCUUGGGGGAGGAAGGAAAUGCAGAAGAGCAGAAGGAACUGAGAAGGGACGAAGGAAGUGACUGAAAAAAUUACAAGGUUGAGGUCCAAGACAGGUCAGACAGAAGAACAGGCACAUCAUUCAUUGUUUCCAAUUAACUUCUCUUGCCCCAUUAGAAAAAAAAAAAAAUAAUAUGUAAGACAGCAUGCAGGCACUCUGUAUGUCCAUUUUAGAACUUUGAAAGGGAAAAAACCUCAUCUGAAAACAUUGAAACUUCUAAGGGCAGAUCUGUGGAUGGACAGGCUGCUGUCACACACACCAAGGCAGAGCUGGAAUGUUCCACUGGCAGAUCUAAGCUCUGAAACUCUGACAGGUGCACAGUUGCUGCAGGAGCUUAGCAAAGCUUAUCUCCUGCUUGGUUUCAAGUGUGUUGUGAGACAUGCUGCUGAAUCUGAACCCUUUAUUGAAACUGUGGUGAUAUUUCCUCAAAAAUGAGCCUUAAUUUAACAUUUAACACUAAACCAUGGAAGUGUACAACAGUUCCAAAACCUUGUGCUUUGUUACAGGUGUUUUUAACACAUUUUAGCAGUGUUAAGAUUAAAUAAAAAUUAUUAAAAGUUAAUAACAUUAAUUUUAAAAGUAAA